rnacentral:rRNA from 2 species
CGCCUCUUGAUUACCAUAAGAGGUCCAGCCUGCCCAGUGAUAUAAUUUAACGGCCGCGUGACUAAGCGCGCGAAGGUAGCAUAAUAACUUGUUCUCUAAAUAGGGACUUGUAUCAAUGGCAUCACGAGAGUUACACUGUCUCCUUUUUCUAAUUAGUGAAACUAAUUUCCUCGUGAAAAAGCGAGAAUAAUAAUAUAAGACGAGAAGACCCCAUGGAGCUUUAAACCCAACAGUACCCUCAUCUUCAUACACCCACUUAACUUUAAGAAUAUAUUUGUUGGUUUUAGGCUGGGGAGACCACGGAGAAUAAAUUAACCUCCGUAAUGAAUGGGAUAAAAUCCUAAUCUAUGAGCUACUACUUUAUGAAUUAAUAAUUUAAUGUUAAAUGACCCGAUUAUCGAUCAAUGAACCAAGUUACCCUGGGGAUAACAGCGCAAUCCAUUUCAAGAGUUCAUAUCAACAAAUGGGCUUACGACCUCGAUGUUGGAUCAGGGUAUCCUAGUGGUGCAGCAGCUACUAAAGGUUUGUUUGUUCAACAAUUAAAACCCU